rnacentral:rRNA from 1 species
UAGCCUUUAGAAAUGAAGAUUAACACCCCAUAAUAUAUUUAGGCCGCAUGUCUUUAUAUUAAAGGUUACGGUACAAGAUGAGUAUGCGUCCUAUUAGCUAGUUGGUAUGGUAACGGCAUACCAAGGCAACGAUAGGUAGGGGCCCUGAGAGGGGGAUCCCCCACACUGGUACUGAGACACGGACCAGACUCCUACGGGAGGCAGCAGUGAGGAAUAUUGGACAAUGGGGGGAACCCUGAUCCAGCCAUGCCGCGUGCAGGAAGACUGCCCUAUGGGUUGUAAACUGCUUUUGUACGGGAAGAAACCGCUCUACGCGUAGAGCCUUGACGGUACCGUAAGAAUAAGCAUCGGCUAACUCCGUGCCAGCAGCCGCGGUAAUACGGAGGAUGCAAGCGUUAUCCGGAAUCAUUGGGUUUAAAGGGUCCGUAGUGGGCCGGUCAGUCAGAGGUGAAAUCCUGCAGCUCAACUGUAGAACUGCCUUUGAUACUGCCGGUCUUGAAUCGUUGUGAAGUGGUUAGAAUAUGUAGUGUAGCGGUGAAAUGCAUAGAUAUUACAUAGAAUACCGAUUGCGAAGCAGAUCACUAACAGCGUAUUGACACUGAUGGACGAAAGCGUAGGUAGCGAACGGGAUUAGAUACCCCGGUAGUCUACGCCGUAAACGAUGGAUACUAGCUGUCCGGCUUCGGCUGGGUGGCUAAGCGAAAGUGAUAAGUAUCCCACCUGGGGAGUACGUUCGCAAGAAUGAAACUCAAGGAAUUGACGGGGGCCCGCACAAGCGUGGAGCAUGUGGUUUAAUUCGAUGAUACGCGAGGAACCUUA